CUCGUUUCAUGCUUCCUGCAGGCGCUAGCUUGGGCUCUGUUGUAAAGGGUAUUUUUUUGGCUCGGUAGCCAGCUGAAUGCACUUGGUGAAUGUCAUAGAAUGUAAGAAAGCACUGGGACAGCAAUGUGUCUUCUUUGGUCUUUGCCCACAAGCAGCACCCGAGGUUGUCAGGGUGGUGAAGAUGCUAUUGGCAAAGGGAUGACUAGGGAGUGCUAACAACACACUGGGAGCUCCAUCGUUUUGGUGCGUUUCACACUGCUUUUGUAUCUACAGACCUUGCUUGCAUUUUGCCAAGGCUGAGCGCCCCUCGUUUUGACAAAGGGAAGCCGAAAGCCGAGCAGGCGGACCCAAAGCCCUGGUGGGAACCGUAGCAAGACGGCGGCCCUGGACCCUUCGCUGUGUGAUGUCUGAGCAGACCCAGCCGUGCCCCUUGCCCAGACUCAUUUGGGACGCAGAUGGUGCCAGAAGUGGACGCUUGCCAUGCUCCCUCAGGCAAAUGUGUGAAGUGUGUGGGAUCUGUUCCAGCUAACUUUGGGGUCCCGUUAAGACAUAAGUGUUGUCUAACCAAGUAGGAGCAACACCCAUUUCUCCUGGUACUUUGACACUCAGCUUUUCUCAGCUCCUCUCCCUAUCACAUACCUCUGGUAUUGAGCAUUUUUUCCCCAUGUCUUUCAAAUUCUCAGCCCAACUCACUAUCCUAUACCAUCAUUCCUGCAUCAUUCUCCUUUUCCUUCCCAUGCUGCACGUUUUGGUCCUCAAACUAUUAAAACCACAAACUCUCAUUCUCCCCAGGCAUGCCCAAGGCCAUGAGAGGGCAAAGCUCACUCAAUGAGUGCUAGAGGUAAGAAAAGGCUGAUCAUCAGCCAGGAGCCUGCCAGCGCCUGUUUGCAUUUCAGCUCUGUGCCAGACCAUUGGGGUUAAUUUCAGGCUUGGUGGGGCAAUGAACUGCAAUCAGGGCUGCUGGGUAAUGUGGCCACGGUGUGCCCGUGCCCGUCAUCCAAAGCAGCAAAGGGCAAAGCUCAGCUCGGGCCGGCUGGGCUGUGGGGAGCGUGACCGCGGGGUGAAGGUGCAAACGGGAGUGGCCUUGCAAAGGAUAUUGCUGUCCCCCUGGACACUGUAGUGCAUUUUCCCAACCUUGGCAGGAGCUGAAGCUGGUUGAGCUUUCUCCAGAAGACCUUCAAUGGAGUAGAACUCACUUUUAUUUAUUUACAAAUUAGAACUGCUGACAACAUUUCAUUUAUUAGUGAAAUCCUUCUCUCAUCCUAACUGUCCUGAGAGGCUACAUCAAAUAUCCCUCCCUCCCUGCUUCCAACAGAUUAUUAUAUGUUGCAAUGUUUGCCUGGAGAAAUAAAAUCCUAGGGUGCCCUGUUUGGGAUAGUAGUCAAGUGUCUGCUCACUCUUAAACAGCUCCCCUCUACAAUGACCGCCAUGAUGGGCUGUAUAACAAUGCAAGGUCUAUUCUAUUCUAUUCUAUUCUAUUCUAUUCUAUUCUAUUCUAUUCUAUUCUAUUCUAUUCUAUUCUAUUCUAUUCUAUUCUAUUCUAUUCUAUUCUAUUCUAUUCUAUCCUACUCUAUAGUAUACUAUGUACUAUAGUAUGCUGAAUAGAAUAGGAUGCUAAGUCACUGGAGAAGGAUGCAUUACACACCCUGAGCUGAGUGGCUGCUCUAGCCUUUCAUUUUCAAAGGGAAUUUAAUAGAUGUAGGCUGCCCUAAUACAAAACCGAUAAAUAAUAUUCAUGGUCUAUAAACAUAUUCGUAACGGCAGAGCUCCCUCAUGCUUUAUACACAUCACCUUCCUUAUGUAA